rnacentral:rRNA from 1 species
UGGGGAAUCUUGCGCAAUGCGCGAAAGCGUGACGCAGCAACGCCGCGUGGGGGAAGAAGGCCUUCGGGUUGUAAACCCCUUUCAGUUGGGACGAAGCUUCGUCGGUUAAUAGCCGGCCGGAGUGACGGUACCUUCAGAAGAAGCCCCGGCUAACUACGUGCCAGCAGCCGCGGUAAUACGUAGGGGGCAAGCGUUGUCCGGAAUCAUUGGGCGUAAAGCGCGUGUAGGCGGUUCGGUAAGUCCGCUGUGAAAGUCCAGGGCUCAACCCUGGGAUGCCGGUGGAUACUGUCGGACUAGAGUACGGAAGAGGCGAGUGGAAUUCCCGGUGUAGCGGUGAAAUGCGCAGAUAUCGGGAGGAACACCAAUUGCGAAGGCAGCUCGCUGGGACGUCACUGACGCUGAGACGCGAAAGCGUGGGGAGCAAACAGGAUUAGAUACCCCCGUAGUCC